AUGAGCUGUGUCCACGUGGGUUUCCCACCCAUUUCCCUGUGGAUUUCCCACCCCUGUCCCUGUGGAUUUCCUAUCCCUGUCCCUGUGCAUUUCCCACCCCUGUCCCCUGUGGAUUUCCCACCUGUGUCCCUGUGGAUUUCCCAGCUGCAUCCCUGUGGAUUUCCCACUCAUGUCCAUGUGGAUUUCCCAACAGUGUCCCUGAGGAUUUCCCACCCCUGUCCCUGUGGAUUUCCCACCUGUGUCCCCUGUGGAUUUCCCAGCUGCAUCCCUGUGGAUUUCCCACUCAUGUCCAUGAGGAUUUCCCACCCAUUUCCCUGUGGAGUUCCCACCCCUGUCCAUGUGGAUUUCCCAACAGUGUCCCUGAGGAUUUCCCACCCCUGUCCCUGUGGAUUUCCCAGCUGCAUCCCUGCGGAUUUCCCACUCAUGUCCAUAUGGAUUUCCCAACAGUGUCCAUGUGGAUUUCCCACCUCUGUCCAUGUGCAUUUCCCACCCAUGUCCAUGUGCAUUCCCCACCCUUGUCCCUGUGGAUUUCCUACCCCUGUCCCUGUGGAUUUCCCACCCCUGUCCAUAUGGAUUUCCCAUCCCUGUGUCCAUAUGAAUUUCCCAUCCCUGUGUCCAUGUGGAUUUCCCACCUGUGUCCAUAUGUAUUUCCCACCCCUGUCCCUGUGGAUUUCCCAGUUGUGUCUAUGUAGAUUUCCCACCCAUAUCCCUGUGCAUUUCCCACCCAUGUCCAUGUGGAUUUCCCAUCCCUGCCCAUGUGCAUUUCCCACCCCUGUCCCUGUGGAUUUCCCAGUUGUGUCCAUGUGCAUUUCCCAUCCCAUAUCCCUGUGCAUUUCCCACCCAUGUCCAUGUGGAUUUCCCACUGAUGUCCAUGUGAAUUUCCCAACAGUGUCCCUGUGGAUUUCCCAUCCCUGUCCAUGUGCAUUCCCCACCCCUGUCCCUGUGCAUUUCCAAUCCCGCAGUCCCCGAGCUGUCUGUGUGGAACGCACAGGAAGGAGAACAGUUCCUGAACAAUCCGUUCUGCCAGGAAACUGCAUUGAAACCCAACUGUUCCACAGGAGCCCCUCCAGCCUGAUGCCACCCUCAGUGGAGCAGUUAGGAAGAAUGGCACACAUUAUCCCCUCUCCUGGCAAUUAUGGGAGAGCUGGAGACUAG
rnacentral:lncRNA from 1 species